GCCCUUCGGGGUACUCGAGUGGCGAACGGGUGAGUAACACGUGGGUGAUCUGCCCUGCACUUCGGGAUAAGCCUGGGAAACUGGGUCUAAUACCGGAUAUGACCAUGAGAUGCAUGUCUCGUGGUGGAAAGCUUUUGCGGUGUGGGAUGGGCCCGCGGCCUAUCAGCUUGUUGGUGGGGUUAAGGCCUACCAAGGCGACGACGGGUAGCCGGCCUGAGAGGGUGACCGGCCACACUGGGACUGAGAUACGGCCCAGACUCCUACGGGAGGCAGCAGUGGGGAAUAUUGCACAAUGGGCGCAAGCCUGAUGCAGCGACGCCGCGUGAGGGACGACGGCCUUCGGGUUGUAAACCUCUUUCAGCACAGACGAAGCGCAAGUGACGGUAUGUGCAGAAGAAGGACCGGCCAACUACGUGCCAGCAGCCGCGGUAAUACGUAGGGUCCGAGCGUUGUCCGGAAUUACUGGGCGUAAAGAGCUCGUAGGUGGUUUGUCGCGUUGUUCGUGAAAACUCACAGCUCAACUGUGGGCGUGCGGGCGAUACGGGCAGACUGGAGUACUGCAGGGGAGACUGGAAUUCCUGGUGUAGCGGUGGAAUGCGCAGAUAUCAGGAGGAACACCGGUGGCGAAGGCGGGUCUCUGGGCAGUAACUGACGCUGAGGAGCGAAAGCGUGGGGAGCGAACAGGAUUAGAUACCCUGGUAGUCCACGCCGUAAACGGUGGGUACUAGGUGUGGGUUUCCUUCCUUGGGAUCCGUGCCGUAGCUAACGCAUUAAGUACCCCGCCUGGGGAGUACGGCCGCAAGGCUAAAACUCAAAGAAAUUGACGGGGGCCCGCACAAGCGGCGGAGCAUGUGGAUUAAUUCGAUGCAACGCGAAGAACCUUACCUGGGUUUGACAUGCACAGGACGUGCCUAGAGAUAGGUAUUCCCUUGUGGCCUGUGUGCAGGUGGUGCAUGGCUGUCGU
rnacentral:rRNA from 1 species